ensembl:lncRNA
GUGCACAUAUGAAUGCGAUGAUCCAUGUCCUGAUGUACCUGUAUUACGGUCUUGCCUCCUGUGGACCUAAGAUCCAAAAGUACCUGUGGUGGAAGAAGUAUCUGACAAUUAUCCAGAUGAUUCAGUUCCAUGUCACCAUCGGUCACACGGCCUUGUCUCUCUAUCUCUAAAGACAGAGCACAUAUCUGAACCACUGGAACACAGAGGUAAUAAAGCCACAUCUUUACCAUGAAGCUACCUUUGGCUCUGGUGUUUGCACUCACCCUCCCCAUCAUCAGGGCUCAGGUUCCCGACUGGGGCCCGUGUCCAGAGCCUGCUGUUCAACCCCCCGUCAGCCUUAAACAGGUACCAGUGACGAUGCAGACUGUGCAGAAUAUGCUGAACACAUUAGGCGUGAAUGUCAUGAGAUACUUCUUCUCUCGCACAGUUUGAAAAGGAAAAAGCUGACACCACAAACAUUAUCAGAGAUUUCUGUUAAACGAGAAUUUAUUAAUAUAAAUAUUGUUUUCAUGUGAAAAAAUAAUUUAAUUUAUUAAAAGUACUUUUUAUUUAUAUAGUUUAUAAUAUAUAUAUAUAUUUUUUUCAGCAUUUCAGCAUAAUCUUUGUUGUAAGUCAACUCAGUACCCAAAGUAUUGUGUAAGUAAAGCUUUUCAGUAC